UACGUAGGGGGCAAGCGUUGUCCGGAAUCAUUGGGCGUAAAGAGCGUGUAGGCGGUCCGGUAAGUCGGCUGUGAAAGUCCAGGGCUCAACCCUGGGAUGCCGGUCGAUACUGCCGGACUAGAGUUCGGAAGAGGCGAGUGGAAUUCCUGGUGUAGCGGUGGAAUGCGCAGAUAUCAGGAGGAACACCAAUGGCGAAAGCAGCUCUCUGGGACGGUACUGACGCUGAGACGCGAAAGCGUGGGGAGCGAACAGG
rnacentral:rRNA from 1 species